rnacentral:rRNA from 1 species
GACGAACGCUGGCGGCGUGCUUAACACAUGCAAGUCGAACGGAAAGGCCCUGCUUUUGUGGGGUGCUCGAGUGGCGAACGGGUGAGUAACACGUGAGUAACCUGCCCUUGACUUUGGGAUAACUUCAGGAAACUGGGGCUAAUACCGGAUAGGAGCUCCUGCUGCAUGGUGGGGGUUGGAAAGUUUCGGCGGUUGGGGAUGGACUCGCGGCUUAUCAGCUUGUUGGUGGGGUAGUGGCUUACCAAGGCUUUGACGGGUAGCCGGCCUGAGAGGGUGACCGGCGACAUUGGGACUGAGAUACGGCCCAGACUCCUACGGGAGGCAGCAGUGGGGAAUAUUGCAGAAUGGGCGGAAGCCUGAUGCAGCAACGCCGCGUGCGGGAUGACGGCCUUCGGGUUGUAAACCGCUUUCGCCCGUGACGAAGCGUGAGUGACGGUAAUGGGUAAAGAAGCACCGGCUAACUACGUG